rnacentral:rRNA from 1 species
CCUACGGGAGGCAGCAGUAGGGAAUCUUCCACAAUGGGCGAAAGCCUGAUGGAGCAACGCCGCGUGAGUGAUGAAGGCCUUCGGGUUGUAAAACUCUGUCAUUCGGGACGAACCGGAGUCUGAGGAAAUGCAGACUCUCUGACGGUACCGGAGGAGGAAGCCCCGGCUAACUACGUGCCAGCAGCCGCGGUAAUACGUAGGGGGCAAGCGUUGUCCGGAUUCACUGGGCGUAAAGCGCGCGCAGGCGGUGAUGUAAGUCUGAGGUGAAAACCCGAAGCUCAACUUCGGGACUGCCUUGGAUACUGCGUCACUUGAGGAUAGGAGAGGCAAGGGGAAUUCCACGUGUAGCGGUGAAAUGCGUAGAGAUGUGGAGGAACACCUGUGGCGAAGGCGCCUUGCUGGCCUAUUUCUGACGCUGAGGCGCGAAAGCGUGGGGAGCAAACAGGAUUAGAUACCCUGGUAGUCCACGCUGUAAACGAUGAGUGCUAGGUGUAGGUGGGCUCAUACCACUCUGUGCGACGACUACGACAUAAGACACNCCGCCGUCGGGAGGUACGGUCGCGAGACGUAGAAACGUUAAAGUUAGUAGUUAGUACGGACGUUAGGAGACGNGGCCGACGGACGACGACGAGGGGAGGUUAGGG